GACGAACGCUGGCGGCGCGCCUAACACAUGCAAGUCGAACGAGCGAGAGAGAGCUUGCUUUCUCGAGCGAGUGGCGAACGGGUGAGUAACGCGUGAGGAACCUGCCUCAAAGAGGGGGACAACAGUUGGAAACGACUGCUAAUACCGCAUAAGCCCACGGGUCGGCAUCGACCAGAGGGAAAAGGAGCAAUCCGCUUUGAGAUGGCCUCGCGUCCGAUUAGCUAGUUGGUGAGGUAACGGCCCACCAAGGCAACGAUCGGUAGCCGGACUGAGAGGUUGAACGGCCACAUUGGGACUGAGACACGGCCCAGACUCCUACGGGAGGCAGCAGUGGGGAAUAUUGCACAAUGGGGGAAACCCUGAUGCAGCGACGCCGCGUGGAGGAAGAAGGUCUUCGGAUUGUAAACUCCUGUUGUUGGGGAAGAUAAUGACGGUACCCAACAAGGAAGUGACGGCUAACUACGUGC
rnacentral:rRNA from 1 species